CAGGGUUAGUCGACACCUAAGCCGAGGCCAAUUGGAGUAGGCGAUGGAAAGCAGGUUAAAUAUUCCUGCACCACUGUUAGCGUUGAGUGAUGGGGUGACGCAGGAGGAUAAGUGCACAAGGCGUGUGGAUGCCUUGCGAAGUGCGUAGGUAGUGUACAUAGGAAAAUCCGUGAACAUAAUACUGAGACAUGAUAGGCGUACCAAUUGAAUAAGAGAGGUACGUUGUGCCCAAUCCACGCUGACUAGAAAAACCUCUAACGAGCAAAACAGUGAUCGUACCGGAAACCGACACAGGUGGGCGAGAAGAGCAUUCUAAGGUGUUGAGAUAACUCUCAUUCAGGAACUCGGCAAAAUAGCCCCGUAACUUCGGGAGAAGGGGUGCCUAUAUUGUCACUAAAACUAUGUUUUAGAAAGCGAUGUUAGGUUUCAACAAAGAGGCCCAACCGACUGUUUAACAAAAACACAGGGCUGUGCGAACUCGUAAGAGGAUGUAUACGGGCUGACGCCUGCCCAGUGCUGGAAGGUUAAUGGGAGAUGUUAUUCCGAAAGGGAGAAGCAUUGAAUUGAAGCCCCAGUAAACGGCGGCCGUAACUAUAACGGUCCUAAGGUAGCGAAAUUCCUUGUCGGGUAAGUUCCGACCUGCACGAAUGGCGUAACGACUUCUCCGGUGUCUCAACCACAUGCCCUGCGAAAUUGAAUUCUCGGUGAAAAUGCCGAGUACCCGCAGAAAGACGGAAAGACCCCGUGAACCUUUACUGUAGCUUGACAGUGAUUUUAGAGUUUUGAUGUGUAGGAUAGGUGGGAGCCUUUGAAGUUUGGGCGCUAGCUCAGAUGGAGGCAACCUUGAAAUACCACCCUUUAGAACUUUGAAAUCUAACUUGCCCCUUAUAUCAAGGGGAAGGACACUGUCUGGUGGGCAGUUUGACUGGGGCGGUCGCCUCCCAAAAAGUAACGGAGGCGCGCGAAGGUACCCUCAGCCUGAUUGGAAACCAGGCGACGAGUGCAUUGGCAUAAGGGUGCUUCACUGUGAGACCUACAAGUCGAACAGGUGCGAAAGCAGGCCAAAGUGAUCCGGUGGUCCCGCGUGGAAGGGCCAUCGCUCAACGGAUAAAAGGUACUCCGGGGAUAACAGGCUGAUCUCCUCCAAGAGUUCACAUCGACGAGGAGGUUUGGCACCUCGAUGUCGGCUCAUC
rnacentral:rRNA from 1 species